UGCGCUGCGAGUCAAGCUCUCGUGUUCUGCCUCAGUGAGGUUCCUGUGAUUUUCCAGCCAGCUCUUGGCAAGCGUUCUGUUCAUCGGAGUGUGUGGAGAAGUGAUUUGCCCACAUCUGUGGGCUGAUAAAUGGCACAGAGGCACCAGUGCCUUUGUCCUCGUGAAGCUUUCUGGACUGACAGGCAGACGCUGCCCUGCACACUGCUCCUGCCAUCAAGAUGGCCAAUAUUCAACAAACCCUCCAGUCCAGGAGUCAGCUCCAGCUGCUGGGAUGGGGGAGAGGACAUCGCCCUUCAGAUCAGGUCCCAGGCUUCUCUUCUCCCACCGGCACUGCCCGAGGGAUGCGGGUGUCUGUUCCUUGCUAACAACAACAAUCUGGCCCUUCUCCUUCGGGGAUGUGCCGUUGCCAAGCGUCCUUUCAUGAUUAUGUUGGCCACUGUUGGCAGCGGUAGCACGUCUCUUUCUGCCCUGCACAGCCAGAAGGGCACCUUCUUCACCUUUCAGCACAGACUUUCUUGACUUGCCGUGGAGCUUUGGGCUCUUCACUGUGUUCUGUAGGGGAGGCAAAUCCCCUCCACUUCUCUCCUGCAGAGGCACUGGGUGGCCCCAAGCCGCUGGCAGCAGGGUCACUGGGAGGAUGUCCUUGAGGCCACCUGGGAGGAGUCACCAUUUGUUCUUCCCAGCUGUCCCCACACCUUGGCUCACCCCAAAGCCAGGUUUGUGCUGCAGUGCGCUCACCGCUGCUCU